rfam:Citrus clementina cultivar Clemenules unplaced genomic scaffold scaffold_7, whole genome shotgun sequence.
ACCCGCUUAGCUCAGAGGUUAGAGCAUCGCAUUUGUAAUGUGAUGGUUCUGUCAUUUGCAAAGUAGUGGGUC